rnacentral:lncRNA from 1 species
GUGAUUUGGAGUUGAUAUGAAUUUUUAAGAGCUUUGCAAAUUGAGGUUUUUUCGGAUGACUUGGGUUUUAUGAAAUAAAAUAGGGUUUAUGUUUUGAGUGAUUUCGAGAGUUUUGUUGCAGAUCUAUAGGUGAAUGUUUUUGGAUUCAUGGUUAUAGUUGUGUUGAAUACAUGUUGUGAAUUUGAACUUGAUCUAAUGGUUGAACUGAGAGAUAUUGAGGUUUAAGUGAGUCAAGGUCUUAGAAAGUAGAAUUUUAGGUCCAGUGAGGGUUUUUUAGAUUUCAUGCAAUCUACUCGUUGGAUUG